UCUUCCUUUCUGCACAAGCUGAUCACUCUAUAAUGCCUUGGGUCCAGAAACAACUCUAUUGUCCUUCUCCAUGCUCCCAGGCAGCAAUUGUUAAUCACUCCUUCCCAAGCCUCCCUCAGCACCCUGUACUUACCUCUAAUGUCUGAUGGGUGACUUUGUUUUGUAAUAAUUGUUUGCAGUUAUGUUCCUGUCAACUGCACCAGGAGCAGCUAAUCUUGACAUCCACAGGGUCCCACACAGUGCCUGGCACAGAGCUUUCAAGAGAUAUAUCACUUUUUUCUUCUUACUUCUAAAUAUGUUAUCAACAUUCCAGAAAGAUACAUUCUUGAGCCUACAGUUUGAGAUCUACAAUUAGAGCACAACCUUGUGGCAGAUGAUGGAGUCUCAACAUAGUCAAGUCUCAGCAACGACCUCUGGGACACUGUCACUAGGAGGAGAGGCCUGUGGGAGGAAAUGGUUAGGAGACUACUACAGCUCUCCCUGCUUGUGCUGUGUGUUCUACUCGGGACCUGAAUGUAUUUCCAGUGAGACAUGCUGCUUCUCUUCAGAAAAGCUGUUCUCUUCCGCAAGCGAUCUGUGGAAAUAUCCCCUGAGCCACACUGUCCCAGGUACAGGCUGUGUCACGAUGGACCUGGGUGAGAUGAAGCUGGAGAUGGGAGUCAGAACACAGGUAGAAGCUACCAGAGAUCAAGACAAGGACAGGGACCAGCCAGGCCUCUUGUGUCACAGACUCCAGAAA